UACGUAGGGUGCAAGCGUUGUCCGGAAUUAUUGGGCGUAAAGAGCUCGUAGGCGGUCUGUCGCGUCGGCUGUGAAAACCCGGGGCUCAACCCCGGGCCUGCAGUCGAUACGGGCAGACUAGAGUGUGGUAGGGGAGACUGGAAUUCCUGGUGUAGCGGUGAAAUGCGCAGAUAUCAGGAGGAACACCGGUGGCGAAGGCGGUUCUCUGGGCCUUACCUGACGCUGAGGAGCGAAAGCGUGGGGAGCGAACAGG
rnacentral:rRNA from 1 species